CUGCGAGGAUAUUAUCGAACAAUCGAGGUGCAAGGGCUGUCGCUGACCUUGUUGUGCACGCUCAGCACUCUCACACAUCCAUCUCACCCUUUGUGCAUCACCGCGUGGGCCCCUUAUGAAGGAGGCUUGCGUCUUCACAUAAAUUGAGUGUAAAAUGUCUCUUUUGCGGUCACGCGCAUCAAUACAACUUUCAACAACGGAUCUCUUGGCUCUCGCAUCGAUGAAGAACGCAGCGAAAUGCGAUACGUAAUGUGAAUUGCAGAAUUCAGUGAAUCAUCGAAUCUUUGAACGCACCUUGCACCCCUUGGCAUUCCGAGGGGUACACCCGUUUGAGUGUCGUGAAAUCAUCAACCUUUUUCCCUUUGGAAAAGAGUUGGACUUGGAGGUUCCUGCUUGCUUUUUUGAAAGUGAGCUCCUCUCAAAUAAAUUAGUGGGGUCCGCUUUGCUGAUCCUUGAUGUGAUAAGUGUUUCUACAUUUUGGAUUUAGCACUGUCCUGCUCCCAACCGUCUCUUGGACAAUGAUGGUUCCUUGAACCCACCUUGACCUCAAUCGGGUGAGACUACCCGCUGAUAAGCAUAUCA
rnacentral:rRNA from 1 species